CACAAUAACAUGUGGACUGCAACGAUUUUACAACUUAUGGGGUAAUUGCUGGUCUAGUUAUCAUAGCAGAAAGGUCUGUUUUAGUAGACUCAGGAAGCAACAUUUCUUUGAUGUUUACUCAGGCGAUUAUGACUACGAUGGCAGUGCUGUGAAAACUGUUUUGAAAAAUGGUCUAUACUAAAACGAAGAGUACAGAGUAUCAAGUUAAUUUAAAUGACAAUAAAAUUAUUUCAAUGUUGAA